GAUGAACGCUGGCGGCGUGCCUAAUACAUGCAAGUCGAGCGAACAGACGAGGAGCUUGCUCCUCUGAUGUUAGCGGCGGACGGGUGAGUAACACGUGGAUAACCUACCUAUAAGACUGGGAUAACUUCGGGAAACCGGAGCUAAUACCGGAUAACAUGUUGAACCGCAUGGUUCAACAGUGAAAGACGGUCUUGCUGUCACUUAUAGAUGGAUCCGCGCCGCAUUAGCUAGUUGGUAAGGUAACGGCUUACCAAGGCAACGAUGCGUAGCCGACCUGAGAGGGUGAUCGGCCACACUGGAACUGAGACACGGUCCAGACUCCUACGGGAGGCAGCAGUAGGGAAUCUUCCGCAAAGGGCGAAAGCCUGACGGAGCAACGCCGCGUGAGUGAAGAAGGUCUUCGGAUCGUAAAACUCUGCUAUUAGGGAAGAACAAAUGUGUAAGUAACUAUGCACGUCUUGACGGUACCUAAUCAGAAAGCCACGGCUAACUACGUG
rnacentral:rRNA from 1 species